rnacentral:rRNA from 1 species
UACGUAGGGUGCAAGCGUUGUCCGGAAUUAUUGGGCGUAAAGAGCUUGUAGGCGGUUUGUCGCGUCUGCCGUGAAAGUCCGGGGCUCAACUCCGGAUCUGCGGUGGGUACGGGCAGACUAGAGUGAUGUAGGGGAGACUGGAAUUCCUGGUGUAGCGGUGAAAUGCGCAGAUAUCAGGAGGAACACCCGUGGCGAAGGCGGCUCUCUGGGACGGUACUGACGCUGAGACGCGAAAGCGUGGGGAGCGAACAGG